UACGUAGGGGGCAAGCGUUGUCCGGAUUCAUUGGGCGUAAAGAGCGUGUAGGCGGCCAGGUAGGUCGGUUGUGAAAACUGGAGGCUCAACCUUCAGAGGUCGACCGAAACCAUCUGGCUAGAGUCCGGGAGAGGAGAGUGGAAUUCCUGGUGUAGCGGUGAAAUGCGCAGAUAUCAGGAGGAACACCGGUGGCGAAGGCGGUGGUCUGGGCCGGUACUGACGCUGAGGAGCGAAAGCGUGGGGAGCGAACAGG
rnacentral:rRNA from 1 species